CCGCCCCUGACUGCUUCUGCUAACUGUUCGUCUUGGUUAUCAGAUGUAAGAAGGGGCCAGAUGA
rnacentral:snoRNA from 1 species